AUGAAAUUAAUGAUACGUAAUUGCCCUACUCAUGGUUUGAAUUUGUGGAUGAUUAUACAAAAAAUUUAUGCCGGAUUGAAUUUUGCUUCUAGAAAUCUUUUAGAUUCGGCCGUGGGAGGCACUUUUAUGGAAAUCACUUUAGGAGAUGCUACUAAACUCCUAGAUAAUAUUAUGGUUAAUUAUUCUCAAUGGCAUACCGAAAGAUCUUCUAAUAAAAAAGUGCAUGCGAUAGAAGAAAUCAAUGUGUUGAGUGGAAAGAUGGAUGAACUUAUGAAAUUAUUUGCUACUAAGAGUGUUUCUUAUGAUCCUAAUGAUAUGCCUUUGUCUACUUUGAUUGAGAAUAACAAUGAAUCUAUGGAUGUGAAUUUUGUUGGUAGGAAUAAUUUUGGUAACAACGCUUAUAGAGGGAAUUUUAAUCCUAGGCCAUAUCCUAGUAAUCCUUCUAAUAAUUAUGGUAAUUCCUACAACAACUCUUAUGGAAAUUAUAAUAAGAUGCCCUCUGAAUUUGACAAUAGUGUUAAAGAGUUUAUGAAUUCAAAAAAGAAUUUUAAUGCUUUGCUAGAGGAGAAAUUGCUUAAAGUUGAUGAUUUGGCUAGAAAUGUUGAUAGAAUUUCUCUUGAGGUUGAUUCUUUAAAGCUUAGAUCUAUUCCUCCUAAGCAUGAUAUCAAUGAGUCUCUCAAAGCCAUGAGAAUUUUCAUUGAUGAGUGCAAAGAAAGAACCGCUAGGAUGCGUGCUUCCAACGAUGCCUUUAUUAAAGCGUGUUCCUCCAAUUCCUAUGAAAAUCAAGAUGAUCUAAAAGUUAUUGAUGUGUCCCCUAUUAAAUCUUUAUUUUGCAAUAUUAAUCUUGAUGAAACUGAAUAUGAUCUUCCUUUACCUAGAAGGUGUUCUAAAAAUUCGGAGUAUUUAGAUCUUAAUGAUGAAAUUGACGAAAGUGGGAUUGAAAGAAAUAAAAAUCUAGAUGUUGCUAAACCCACUAUAUUGGAUUUCAAGGAAUUUAAUUAUGAAAGUUGCUCUUUAAUUGAUUGUAUUUCCUUGUUGAAAUCCGUGCUAAAUUCUCCACAUGCUUAUAGUCAAAAUAAAGCCUUCACCGAACAUAUUGUUGAUGCCUUGAUGCAAUCUUAUGAAGAAAAAUUUGAGUUGAAAGUUUCUUUCCCUAGAAAACUCUAUGAUGAGUGGGAACCAACUAUUAAAAUUAAAAUUAAAGAUCAUGAGUUUUAUGUUUUGUGUGAUUUGGGUGCUAGUGUCUCUACUAUUCCCAAGACUUUGUGUGAUUUACUAGAUUUCCGUAAUUUUGAUGAUUGCUCUCUAAACUUGCAGCUUGCGGAUUCCACUAUUAAGAAACCUAUGGGAAGGAUUAAUGAUGUUCUUAUUGUUGCAAAUAGGAAUUAUGUGCCCGUAGAUUUCAUUGUUCUUGAUAUAGAUUGCAAUCCUUCUUGCCCUAUUAUUCUUGGUAGACUUUUCCUUAGAACGGUUGGUGCGAUUAUUGAUAUGAAGGAAGGGAAUGUUAGAUUUCAAUUUCCAUUAAAAAAGGGCAUGGAACACUUUCCAAGAAAGAAAAUAAAAUUACCAUAUGAAACUAUCAUGAGAGCCACCUAUGGAUUGCCUACCAAAGAUGACAAUACCUAG
rnacentral:rRNA from 1 species